rnacentral:misc_RNA from 1 species
GAUGAAAACGCAGCGAAAUGCGAUAAGUAAUGUGAAUUGCAGAAUUCAGUGAAUCAUCGAAUCUUUGAACGCACAUUGCGCCCGCCAGUAUUCUGGCGGGCAUGCCUGUUCGAGCGUCAUUUCAACCAUCAAGCCCCCGGCUUGUGUUGGGGACCUGCGGCUGCCGCAGGCCCUGAAAAGCAGUGGCGGGCUCGCUGUCACACCGAGCGUAGUAGCAUACAUCUCGCUCUGGGCGUGCUGCGGGUUCCGGCCGUUAAACCACCUUCAUAACCCAAGGUUGACCUCGGAUCAGGUAGGAAGACCCGCUGAACUUAAGCAUAUCAAUAAGCGGAGGA